GCUUAGUGGCGAACGGGUGAGUAACACGUAGGCAACCUGCCCAAAAGAGGGGGAUAACACUUGGAAACAGGUGCUAAUACCGCAUAACCAUGAACACCGCAUGAUGUUCAUGUAAAAGACGGCUUUUGCUGUCACUUUUGGAUGGGCCUGCGGCGUAUUAACUUGUUGGUGGGGUAACGGCCUACCAAGGUGAUGAUACGUAGCCGAACUGAGAGGUUGAUCGGCCACAUUGGGACUGAGACACGGCCCAAACUCCUACGGGAGGCAGCAGUAGGGAAUCUUCCACAAUGGACGAAAGUCUGAUGGAGCAACGCCGCGUGAAUGAAGAAGGCCUUCGGGUCGUAGAAUUCUGUUGUCAGAGAAGAACGUGCGUGAGAGUAACUGUUCACGUAUUGACGGUAUCUGACCAGAAAGCCACGGCUAACUACGUGCCAGCAGCCGCGGUAAUACGUAGGUGGCGAGCGUUGUCCGGAUUUAUUGGGCGUAAAGGGAACGCAGGCGGUCUUUUAAGUCUGAUGUGAAAGCCUUCGGCUUAACCGAAGUAGUGCAUUGGAAACUGGAAGACUUGAGUGCAGAAGAGGAGAGUGGAACUCCAUGUGUAGCGGUGAAAUGCGUAGAUAUAUGGAAGAACACCAGUGGCGAAAGCGGCUCUCUGGUCUGUAACUGACGCUGAGGUUCGAAAGCGUGGGUAGCAAACAGGAUUAGAUACCCUGGUAGUCCACGCCGUAAACGAUGAGUGCUAAGUGUUGGAGGGUUUCCGCCCUUCAGUGCUGCAGCUAACGCAUUAAGCACUCCGCCUGGGGAGUACGGUCGCAAGACUGAAACUCAAAGGAAUUGACGGGGGCCCGCACAAGCGGUGGAGCAUGUGGUUUAAUUCGAAGCAACGCGAAGAACCUUACCAGGUCUUGACAUCUUCUGACAAUUCCAGAGAUGGAACGUUCCCUUCGGGGACAGAAUGACAGGUGGUGCAUGGUUGUCGUCAGCUCGUGUCGUGAGAUGUUGGGUUAAGUCCCGCAACGAGCGCAACCCUUAUUGUCAGUUGCCAUCAUUAAGUUGGGCACUCUGGCGAGACUGCCGGUGACAAACCGGAGGAAGGUGGGGAUGACGUCAAAUCAUCAUGCCCCUUAUGACCUGGGCUACACACGUGCUACAAUGGACGGUACAACGAGUCGCUAACUCGCGAGGGCAAGCUAAUCUCUUAAAGCCGUUCUCAGUUCGGAUUGCAGGCUGCAACUCGCCUGCAUGAAGUCGGAAUCGCUAGUAAUCGCGAAUCAGCAUGUCGCGGCGAAUACGUUCCCGGGCCUUGUACACACCGCCCGUCACACCAUGAGAGUUUGUAACACCCAAAGUCGGUGGGGUAACCUUUUGGAGCCAGCCGCCUAAGGUGGGACAGAUGAUUGGGGUGAAGUCGUAACAAGGUA
rnacentral:rRNA from 1 species